UGGGGAAUUUUGGACAAUGGGGGCAACCCUGAUCCAGCAAUGCCGCGUGUGUGAAGAAGGCCUUCGGGUUGUAAAGCACUUUUGUCCGGAAAGAAAACGUCGUGGUUAAUACCCGUGGCGGCUGACGGUACCGGAAGAAUAAGCACCGGCUAACUACGUGCCAGCAGCCGCGGUAAUACGUAGGGUGCAAGCGUUAAUCGGAAUUACUGGGCGUAAAGCGUGCGCAGGCGGUCCGCUAAGACAGAUGUGAAAUCCCCCGGGCUUAACCUGGGAACUGCAUUUGUGACUGGCGGGCUAGAGUAUGGCAGAGGGGGGUAGAAUUCCACGUGUAGCAGUGAAAUGCGUAGAGAUGUGGAGGAAUACCGAUGGCGAAGGCAGCCCCCUGGGCCAAUACUGACGCUCAUGCACGAAAGCGUGGGGGAGCAAACAGGAUUAGAUACCCUGGUAGUCCACGCCCUAAACGAUGUCAACUAGUUGUCGGUCUUCAUUGACUUGGUAACGUAGCUAACGCGUGAAGUUUGACGCCUGGGGAGUACGGUCGCAAGAUU
rnacentral:rRNA from 1 species